GCGGUAUAGCUCAGUCGGUAGAGCAUGAGACUCGUAAUUUCAGGAUAAUGGGUUUGAGCACUACGUUAGGCA